AUGAACGCUAGCGGCAGGCUUAACACAUGCAAGUCGAGGGGCAGCAUACCCAGCAAUGGGUGAUGGCGACCGGCGGAAGGGUGCGUAACGCGUGAGCAACAUACCCUAUACAGGGGGAUAAGCCAGGGAAACUUGGUCUAAUAUCCCAUAGGAAAUAGAUAAGGCAUCUUGUUUAUUUUAAAGCUUCGGUGGUAUAGGAUUGGCUCGCGUGACAUUAGCUAGAUGGAGGGGUAACGGCCCACCAUGGCAAUGAUGUCUAGGGGUUCUGAGAGGAAGAUCCCCCACACUGGGACUGAGACACGGCCCAGACUCCUACGGGAGGCAGCAGUGAGGAAUAUUGGACAAUGGAUGGAAAUCUGAUCCAGCCAUGCCGCGUGCAGGAAGACGGCCCUAUGGGUUGUAAACUGCUUUUAUACGGGAGCAAUAAGGUCUAUGCAUAGAUUGAUGAGAGUACCGUAUGAAUAAGCAUCGGCUAACUCCGUGCCAGCAGCCGCGGUAAUACGGAGGAUGCGAGCGUUAUCCGGAUUUAUUGGGUUUAAAGGGUGCGUAGGCGGCUUUGUAAGUCAGCGGUGAAAUUUUGCAGCUUAACUGUAAAAGCGCCGUUGAUACUGUGAAGCUAGGAUUUGGUUGCUGUGGGCGGAAUGUGUGGUGUAGCGGUGAAAUGCAUAGAGAUCACACAGAAUAUCGAUUGCGAAGGCAGCUCACAAAGCCAAUAUUGACGCUGAGGCACGAAAGUGUGGGGAUCAAACAAGAUUAGAUACCCUGGUAGUCCACACUGUAAACGAUGAUAACUCACUGUCGGCGAUAGACCGUCGGUGGCCAAGCGAAAGCGAUAAGUUAUCCACCUGCGGAGUACGACCGCAAGGUUG
rnacentral:rRNA from 1 species